rnacentral:rRNA from 1 species
GGGAUCAUUACUGAGUGAGGGCUCACGCCCGACCUCCAACCCUUUGUGAACCUCUCCGGUUGCUUCGGGGGCGACCCUGCCGGCGAACUCGUCGCCGGGCGCCCCCGGAGGUCGUCAAACACUGCAUCGAUGCGUCGGAGUUUCAAUCAAAUGAAACAAAACUUUCAACAACGGAUCUCUUGGUUCUGGCAUCGAUGAAGAACGCAGCGAAAUGCGAUAAGUAAUGUGAAUUGCAGAAUUCAGUGAAUCAUCGAAUCUUUGAACGCACAUUGCGCCCUUUGGUAUUCCGAAGGGCAUGCCUGUUCGAGCGUCAUUUCACCACUCAAGCCUGGCUUGGUAUUGGGCGUCGCGGUUCCGCGCGCCUUAAAGUCUCCGGCUGAGCUGUCCGUCUCUAAGCGUUGUGGAAUCUAACUAUUCGCUUCGGAGUACGGGUGGCCGCGGCCGUUAAAUCUUUAUUCAAAGGUUGACCUCG